rnacentral:rRNA from 1 species
CACGUAGGGGGCAAGCGUUGUCCGGAUUUAUUGGGCGUAAAGAGCUCGUAGGCGGUCUGUCACGUCGGCUGUGAAAUCCCGAGGCUCAACCUCGGGUCUGCAGUCGAUACGGGCAAACUAGAGUAUUGCAGGGGAGACUGGAAUUCCUGGUGUAGCGGUGAAAUGCGCAGAUAUCAGGAGGAACACCGGUGGCGAAGGCGGGUCUCUGGGCAAUAACUGACGCUGAGGAGCGAAAGCGUGGGGAGCGAACAGG